rnacentral:lncRNA from 1 species
GCCGCAGGCUGGUCCCAAGCAGCGGAGGCCGCAGAGCUGAGUGACGCCCCAAGUGCUGGAUGCCUCAGCUGGAGGCCAUCUGCAAGCUGGGCUGCUAUCACUCGCUGGGAGAGGCAGUGAGGCCAGAGCGCCACCCAGUGCCCCUGGGCACGCCUGCAGCUGCCCUGCCUGCUGCUCUGCCUGGCUGACCCAGCACCAGCAGAGAGUGCAGCACUCUGGCUGCACACCUGCUGGGCCUAGGCCUGCAGCAUGCCAUGCAGCCCUCCUGAGGCCCUACAUAGCUCAGAGGCUCAUUGAUGAUAUCCCUCAAGUCUGCUGUCUCAGUGCAGGGGCUGGAUGCUUUGUCUGUGGGACUGCUACUCCUUUCUUUUCAUAAGUUUAUCCUAUUGUUGCUGAGCAGCUUAAUUGACAAAAUGCCUGAAAUCAGAGGGAUUUCAUCUGCCGAAAACUGGUGUCUAACUGUAAGCAAAAGUUGGUUUACGGUGGCAAAAGGAGAAUGAAGGGGAUCCGAAGGACAAACCUGACUUUGCCUCUCUUCUACCCUCCACCCCACUAUCCUCUGGAAGAGAGUUGCCCGGUGUUGGGAGCUCAGGAGUGUCUUCAGAAAUCUCUCCACGAAGCUUCCUGCCAUCUGUCAUGAAAUCUCCUCACAAGACCACAUCAGGGAACAUCUCAAAAUCAUCCUCAGAACCCUGCACCAAUCAUGUGCUGAUGAGAAGCCGGUGGUGAGCAGUUGUACAAGAUCCACAGAGCUUGAUGGGAAUUUGUCAACCCCCAAAUGUUUCUAAAGUUGAUCUUAUAGAUGCUGAAAAUGUCACCCUCCCUUUCCGGCCUCUUGUGCCUUGCUCCUGUCAUUCGAAGCUGCCCAUCUGAAGCCCUCUAGCCUCAACCUGAAGGUUAUUGCCAUGGAUCUGGCCCAGAUGCACGCCUGUCAAGGACCUGGAAAUGACCUUUACAUUGAAGCAUCUGCUGCUCUGUGUGCAGGCUCUGAUUUCAGUGUGUCAGGAGGACUGCAGUGGGUCCAGCUUGUAGCUCAUGGAAGUGCUGGUGAUGAUAAUGGCUGGCUCAGGUGCCACAGGCCUCCAUGGCAAGGUUUAGGAGACAAUGAACUCGAUGGUUGCAGUGGAGAAGUCAAUGUCAGCCAGGAUUUCUGUGGGAAAUACACAGAUGUGGUCAACCACAUCACACAACGACUGGACUAUGUACUCUGCAGAACUUAUGCAGCUCAACGUACUUGUCACUCAGGCUCUGUUGUAAAAGAAGUGCCACAACACUUGGUCCCCACACCCAAUGCCUAUCUCCAGCCAGCCAGAGACCUGCAGAUGUGUCUAAAACUUUUUUCCAUCCUGUCCAAAGUGCUGCUGAGGCCAAAGGACACCAUCACCUCCCAAAGGCAGUUUCACAGCUACCCUGAGACAGUGAUAAAGGACAUCUGCAAAGGCAUGUGGGAGGACAGCCAUUGUGUCCUGCCUCUGGGUGCUCCCUAGCUGCAAGGUCCUGUUGGUCAAACAGAUACAGGAAGUGUAGUAGGGAAUACUGAUACCUCAAAUUCUGACCACCCUGGAAGAAUAUUCUCAACUGACUUAGUUAAUUCCAUGCAAAAUUAUUAUUAUUAUUAUUUUUUUAACAGGAAAAUAUUCUGAUUUUAAAAUUAAUACAUAUAUUUUUUAAAACCUCUGGUGAUGUGAUUAAUGCAGAUAAAUUCAUUGAGAUUUACCCUGAACUCUAAAAACAUCUAGAUGACAUUUUCAACAACAUAAUAAUAGCAGCUGCAUCCACCUUAAUCACCUGGCUGAAAUGCAUCAAAAGCACUGAUAGAUAGUCUUAUCAUCAAAACAACAUUCAAUAUCUGUAUAAGGAACUCCUUGUUCAUCUUGAUGAUUCAGAGAGCGCCAUCCAGGAAGCAAUUUUAGAGGUCCUUUAAGAUGGCGGCAUCCUAUCCUCAGAUCUGAUGAGGGAGACUGAUGCUGUCAUCUACAAGCAGCACUCUGCAUUGGCUGGGAGCAGCAUCUGUAGCACAUGCAGGCCUUGCUGGCCACACAGUGA